AAAAAAAAUAGAAAAAAAAAAGUAAUUUUUCGUAAGAAUUAAUAGUGUCUAUACAAUUUUGGACAAAAAAUUACAAAUUGAUCACUAAAAUUUACAAAUCAAUCUCAUAGUAUGGGCUAAAUACAAACCGCAAAACUAAAUCAAAAAAAAAAAAAUACAAAUACCAAAAUCAAUUUCUAUCACACAAAUAAAAUUUGAAACCAAUUAUACACAAAAUCAAACAGCCAUGAACAUGAAGUCGCAAGCUCCGUCGACACAGAACCCCUGAAUACGAAGCUCCGUUGAAUGCCAUCCACCUGCACAUAAAAGAGGGAGAGAGAGAGAGGUGACAGUAGUUCAAAUCUUGACCAUGGGACUUCGAAUGGGAAUCUCAAAUCUGCAUCGCAUGAGUAGACAAGUCAAAGAGACACCGAAACAGAGAGAAAUUGAGUUGCGCACAAAGUAACCUUUGGGAUCUCUGUCAUUGGUCUACACCUUGACAGACACGUCAAAGCUCACCAUACGUCGCUGGUUUGGCUGGACUUGAUGAAGAGAGAACGGAAGAAAGAGAGAGGAAGAAAGACGAUGAGAGAAAGAGCUCAAGGGUGGGGAUGGAGGUUCGGGGUUACUGAGGCCGAGAAAUCUUGUUUAUUAGUCCGUUUGGACCACUGAUGACUGAAGAUGGUCGUUCCCCACCUGGGUUGGCACCGCACAAGAGAAACGAAGAGAGAAGGCAGAUGUAUGUGUUUUAGGUUUACAGUUUUUUUCUUUUGGUUU